GUUGAAGCACUGAUUCCCGUAUGAUCACCAAAGUUAAGCAAUGUUGAGCCUUGUCAGUACCUAGAUGGGCAACUGCUUGGGACUAUCAGGUGCUGUAAG